UUUACCUACGGGAGGCAGCAGUGGGGAAUAUUGCACAAUGGGGGGAACCCUGAUGCAGCGACGCCGCGUGGGUGAAGGAGUACUUCGGUACGUAAAGCCCUAUCAGCAGGAAAGAAAAUGACGGUACCUGACUAAGAAGCCCCGGCUAACUACGUGCCAGCAGCCGCGGUAAUACGUAGGGGGCAAGCGUUAUCCGGAUUCACUGGGUGUAAAGGGAGCGUAGACGGCCAUGCAAGCCUGGAGUGAAAGCCCGGGGCCCAACCCCGGGACUGCUCUGGGAACUGUUCGGCU
rnacentral:rRNA from 1 species